rnacentral:rRNA from 2 species
GAUGAACGCUGGCGGCGCGCCUAACACAUGCAAGUCGAACGGUUAAAGCACCUUUUAGGUGUGUAUAAAGUGGCGAACGGCUGAGUAACACGUGGGCAACCUGCCCUCCUCUUGGGGAUAGCCUCGGGAAACCGAGGAUAAUACCCGAUACUUCAAUGUGGCCGCAUGACGACAUUGAGAAAGCUUUUGCGGAGAAGGAUGGGCCCGCGGCCUGUUAGCUUGUUGGUGGGGUAGAGGCCUACCAAGGCAAUGAUGGGUAGCUGGGUUGAGAGACCGACCAGCCAGAUUGGGACUGAGACACGGCCCAGACUCCUACGGGAGGCAGCAGUGGGGAAUCUUGCACAAUGGGCGAAAGCCUGACGCAGCGACGCCGCGUGCGGGACGAAGGCCUUCGGGUUGUAAACCGCUUUUCAGCAGGGACGAGGCGAAAGUGACGGUACCUGCAGAAGAAGCCCCG